AUCCUUAACUGAUAGGGGAAAUGCCAUGAUCAAAAGGUCAUUUUCCCAGGAUGAGAUUCAUCCAUUGCCCUCAGGGAUGUGUUAACUCCUGUGAAUUUCCCCAAAUGCUAGAAAUUUGACUGCAUAAUUUGUGAUAGUUGGGACUUUGGCCAUGUAUGUGUGUAGGUCUAACCUUGACUCUCAA
rnacentral:snRNA from 1 species